GGGAAUAUGGCUUAGUGGUAGAGUGCUUGCUUAGCAUGCAAAAAGCCCUAGGUUAAAUUCCUCAGUACCA
rnacentral:tRNA from 1 species